rnacentral:rRNA from 1 species
UGGGGAAUAUUGGACAAUGGGCGCAAGCCUGAUCCAGCCAUGCCGCGUGAGUGAUGAAGGCCCUAGGGUUGUAAAGCUCUUUCACCGGUGAAGAUAAUGACGGUAACCGGAGAAGAAGCCCCGGCUAACUUCGUGCCAGCAGCCGCGGUAAUACGAAGGGGGCUAGCGUUGUUCGGAUUUACUGGGCGUAAAGCGCACGUAGGCGGACUUUUAGGUCAGGGGUGAAAUCCCGGGGCUCAACCCCGGAACUGCCUUUGAUACUGGAAGUCUUGAGUAUGGUAGAGGUGAGUGGAAUUCCGAGUGUAGAGGUGAAAUUCGUAGAUAUUCGGAGGAACACCAGUGGCGAAGGCGGCUCACUGGACCAUUACUGACGCUGAGGUGCGAAAGCGUGGGGAGCAAACAGG